rnacentral:lncRNA from 7 species
AUGCAUGAUUUUUCACGUUAAAUGGGGAUUUUCCAAGAGAAAAUGUGUAAUUUCCAGGUUAAUGGGGGUUUUGGAAGAGAAAAUGUGUGACUUUUGGUUAAAUGGGGGGUUUUCCAGAGAAAAUGCAUGACUUUCUGUUAAAUGGAGGAUUUUUGUGGUAAAAUGCGUGGUUUCCAGGUUAAAGCAGGGAUUUUCGAUGAGAAAAUACAUGAUUUGGGGGUUAAUUUUUUUUUUUUUUUUUAAGAAACUGUGAUUUUUGAUUAAUUAUGUAUUUUUGAAGUGAAAAUGCGUGAUUUAGGUUAGAUCAGGGAUUCUUGAAGAGAAAAUGCAUCAUUGUCGGGUUACAUGGGGGAUUUCCACAGAGAAAUAGCCUUUUUUUCCUGGUUAAAUGGGGGAUUUUCGAAGAGAAAAUGCAUGAUUUUCAGGUUACAUGGGAGAUUCUUGUAGCGCAAGUGUUUGAUUUUGGGGUUAAAUGAGGGAUUUUUGAAGAGAAAAUGAGUGAUUUUCGAGUUAAAUGGGUGAUUUUCCAAGAGAAAAUGCGUGAUUUUCAGAUUAAAUGGGGGAUUGUUGAAGAGGAAAUGCCUUCGUUUCAGGUAAAUUGGGGGUUUUCGAAGCCAAAAUGUGCGAUUUUCACUUAAAUGGGGGAUUUCCCAAACGAAAAUGCAUGAUUUUCUUUUUAGAUGGGGGAUUUCAUAGAGAAAGGCAUGAUUUUGUGUUAAGUGGGGGAUAUUUGCAAAGAAAGGCGGUGAUUUUCGGGUUAAAUAGGGGAUUUUUCAAAGAGAAAAUGUGUGAUUUCAGUUAAAUCGCGGAUUCUCAAUGAGAAAAUGCCUGAUGUUUGCAUUAAAUGUGUGAUUUUCGUAGAGAUAAUGCGUGAUUUUCAGGUUACAUGGGAGAUUUUUGAAGAGAAAAUGUGUGAUAUUCGGGAUGAAUCAGGGAUUCUUGAAGAGAAAAUGCAUCAUUUUCGGGUUCAAUGGGGGAUUCUCGAAGAGAAAUUGCAUUUUCUACUGGUUAAAUGGGGGAUUUUUGAAGAGGAAAUGCUUCGUUUCAGUAAGGGGGUUUUCGAAGCCAAA